UGUUCUUAUAUUUGAUUCAUAACUCUGAUACCAUCAAUAAUGACAAUAAAAUCAUCCAUGGUUUCUCAAUCUUAUACGUUAGGAAAAUAUAAAAAGAUUCUAAGUCAACAAAAUAUUAAACAAUUCAAUCUUCUUUGGGCUGAGGUUACCUUCUCCACCUAAUGCAAGAAUUACAAUUUGGUGUGAAGUAGUAUUCUCGGUUGGGUGCUUGGAUAUUAUGAAUUGAUUAAUAUAUCAGGAAUAAACUGCCAACUAUCUCAUUUGGUGAUGAACAUCAUGUUAAGUUUGCAGGCAAAUAUGAGCAUUGUUAUCCUUAGCUUGUCGACAAAGUAGCCCUACAACUGUUGUAUUAUUCUAGAUGAAACAUCUCUGUGAACUAUGAAGAAUGAAACUAUGCUAAAAGGUGUCUAGAUAUUUUUUAACUUCCAGGGUGAUGGAGAACUUCUAUGUGGCCUUCCAGUUUGGCAAUGGUGUAACAAGAGGAAAAUCUAAUAGCGACGUAUGACAUAAUGGUGAACUACUGCUCUUUCGCAGGCUGAAGUUCUGUAGGACUAUUCAUUGUUCUGGAAGAGUUUGAGAAGCAUGGAGCCAACAUCUACAAGCGCGCAAAUGUGACUGUUACAAUACAUUCUUUGUAUUAUCAAUUUGACGGAGUCUUGAAGUUGUUCAAACUCACCAACACGGUCGACGAACAUUGCACAGAAGUAGUACUUUAAUGAGGCCAUGAAGUAGAAUCAAUAUACAGUACUCAACGAUGAAGAAGUCAUCAAAUGGUACCGCUUAUCCAGGCAUAAACAAUGGGCUUCUAUACGAAAUAGAAACCACGGAUGAGGAUAUUCCUUUAGAUGAAGAGGCCACGAGGACCAGUAACGUACCCUGAUCUAAUAAUCAGUCUCGGGAUAUAACAUUGCAUUCAUAGGUACACCGUUCGUUAGGCAUGAUGGAUGUCAAAUGCAGACACUGUGGACCACUACUCUGGAUCUAACAGAGUGAUUUAUUCUUUUGCCAGUGGCUGCAACAAAUGAUAUAAUUGUUCAACUGUACCAUGGAUCGUAUCCCUCUUACAUGGCAGCAGAGUAGGUUUCAGAGGAUUUGGAGGAAGGGUUGGCCAAAGAUAUGGGAGGCCCUUCUGCAAGUUUAAAGCAAUAAAUCCGUUGGGGUCGCUGAUAUUUAACUUCUCAAGACGCAUAACAGCUAGAAGAAUCAAGCUAUUAAUGCCAGAGAGUGGUGAAGGCAAUUAAGACAGAUAAUGACGUUUUCCCGGAAGUAAUUCUGUAGUCUAUAUAAAGACUGUCUGAAAGAGAUGUCUACGUCCACCAUUGUUGGAACCCAGCAGGAGCUUAGGAAAAAAUACAGUUGCAUUUUUUUUUAUUAUAUGACUUCUAUGAUGGACACAAAAUGAGAAUGGUAUUUGGUACGAGUGUUUGGUUGGUUGAUUAAAGGUUAAUAGUUAAGACUUUAGUAGUGAAGUAUAUCCUUUCUAAAAAAAAAUUGAAGACAUGCAUGCACAAAUGUAACAAGCAGU